GGGAAAGUUGAAAAGCACUUUGAAAAGAGAGUGCAAGAGAACGUGAAACCGUUAUAGUGGAAGCGGAUGGAGCCGACGUAUCCAGUGCGUAUUCAGCACUCGUCGGCGGUUGUUUCUCGGCUGGUGUUCCGCAAGGUCGCCAACCGGGGACUGCUGCCGUCGGCGGGUGUGCAUUUGCGUACAGAGUGCGCCGAGUCGGCUGAGCACGCCGCUCGAGCUCGGCAAAGAGGACAUGCUCUCGGGCGUGAAUCCUGUGCCGAUGUGAGGGCGGAUGUGCUCGGCCGUGAAGUGUUGUUUUCGCAGACUCCGCUUUUGUAGCAGGCAUCUAACGAUGACCACAUGUGGGCUUCGUUCUAUGCUUGUUAUGGGUGUGGUGUCGGCACAGCACGAUUCGGUGUCUAGUCGGUCACCCAUUUGACCCGUCUUGAAACACGGACCAAGGAGUUUAAGGUGUACGCAAGUCAAUGGGUGUCGAAACUCAGAGGCGUAAUGAAAGUGGGACACUUGGUGUCUGCGAUGUGACUCGUGUGCGAUUCGUUGUGCGCGAGGCAGCAUCGACCCAUGACUAAGACUUGUCUUGUUGUGGAGUCUGAGCGUACGCUUUGAGACCCGAAAGAUGGUGAACUAUGCCCGAACAGGACGAAGUCAGAGGAAACUCUGAUGGAAGUCCGAAGCGGUUCUGACGUGCAAAUCGAUCGUCUGAUUUGGGUAUAGGGGCGCAAGACUAAUCGAACCAUCUAG
rnacentral:rRNA from 1 species